GGGCCGAUUCCAGGGAGGCAGCUGGUCCUCUACCAAUGCUGAAGGAGAGCCAGCUAGCACUACCUUUGACUAAUUUCCCCAAGCAUGAUCAUCCUGACUGGAAGACAUCUCUAAGACAAGCUAUUGUCCAAGACCUCAAGAACAUUGUCUUCAUAAAUGGAUGAGCCAACAAAAGCCUUCUGACAGUAUAAAGUGUCUAACUUUGUAUGGACAUGGUAUCUUGCUGAUACAUGAUGAAGACUAUUUAACACCUUA